rnacentral:tRNA from 1 species
GCCGAGAUAGCUCAGUCGGUAGAGCAGGGGACUGAAAAUCCUCGUGUCACAGGUUUCAAAUA